rnacentral:rRNA from 1 species
GCYUAACACAUGCAAGUCGAGCGGUAGGCGUAGCAAUACGCUGAGAGCGGCGGACUGGUGAGUAACGCGUGGAUGAUCUACCGGUUAGGGCAUGGGGAUAGCCACUAGAAAUAGUGGGUAAUACCGAAUACNGUUUGCACAGGUGAAGCUGUGUAAAGAAAGGAUCCUACGGGGUCGGCCUAAUGAUGAGUCUGCGUCCCAUUAGCUAGUUGGUAAGGUAAUGGCCUACCAAGGCGAUGAUCAGUAGCUGAUCUGAGAGGACAACCAGCCAGACGGGGACUGAGAUACGGCCCUGACUCCUACGGGAGGCAGCAGCAAGGAAUUUUGCGCAAUGGGCGAAAGCCUGACGCAGCGACGCCGCGUGGGGGAUGACGGCCUUCGGGUUGUAAACCCCUUUUCUAGAGGAAGAAAUCUGACGGUACUCUAGGAAUAAGUCUUGGCUAACUACGUGCCAGCAGCCGCGGUAAUMC